GGCCUACCAUGGUGGUAACGGGUAACGGGGUGUUAGGGCACGACACCGGAGAGGGAGCCUGAGAAACGGCUACCACAUCCAAGGAUGGCAGCAGGCGCGCAAAUUACCCAAUCCCGACACGGGGAGGUAGUGACAAUAAAUAACAGUACAGGGUUCUUUUGGAUCUUGUAAUUGGAAUGAGUACAAUUUAAAUCUCUUAACGAGGAACAAUUGGAGGGCAAGUCUGGUGCCAGCAGCCGCGGUAAUUCCAGCUCCAAUAGCGUAUAUUAAAGUUGUUGCAGUUAAAAAGCUCGUAGUUGAAUUUCGGGAUCAAUAUGCUGGUCGUGCCUUGGUACGUACUAGUUUAUUGGUUUCUCUCUUCUGACGAACCAUGAUGUCAUUAAUUUGAUGUCAUGUGGAAUCAGAACUGUUACUUUGAAAAAAUUAGAGUGUUUAAAGCAGGCUCACGCUUGAAUACAUUAGCAUGGAAUAAUGAAAUAGGACGUUUGAUUCUAUUUUGUUGGUUUCUAGGAUUGACGUAAUGAUUAAUAGGGAUAGUUGGGGGCAUUAGUAUUCAAUUGUCAGAGGUGAAAUUCUUGGAUUUAUUGAAGACUAACUACUGCGAAAGCAUUUGCCAAGGAUGUUUUCAUUAAUCAAGAACGAAAGUUAGGGGAUCGAAGACGAUCAGAUACCGUCGUAGUCUUAACCAUAAACUAUGCCGACUAGGGAUCGGAUGAUGUUAAUUUAAUGACUCAUUCGGCGCCUUACG
rnacentral:rRNA from 1 species